CAGCCGCCGCGGGAAUACGGAGGGUGCAAGCGUUAAUCGGAAUUACUGGGCGUAAAGCGCACGCAGGCGGUCUGACAAGUCAGAUGUGAAAUCCCCGGGCUUAACCUGGGAACUGCAUUUGAAACUGUCAGGCUGGAGUCUUGUAGAGGGGGGUGGAAUUCCAGGUGUAGCGGUGAAAUGCGUAGAGAUCUGGAGGAAUACCGGUGGCGAAGGCGGCCCCCUGGACAAAGACUGACGCUCAGGUGCGAAAGCGUGGGGAGCAAACAGGAUUAGAUACCCCCGUAGUCCAUGUCUCUUAUAC
rnacentral:rRNA from 1 species